rnacentral:rRNA from 1 species
GAUUAACGCUGGCGGCGUGCAUAACACAUGCAAGUCGAACGAUGAAACUUAAAUGAUUUCUUCGGAAUGAACUUAAGUGGAUUAGUGGCGGACGGGUGAGUAACGCGUGAGUAACCUGCCUUACACAAGGGGAUAGCCGUUGGAAACGACGAAUAAUACCCUAUGAUGUUUCUAUCUCGCAUGAGAUAUUACCCAAAGUGUUAGCGGUGUAAGAUGGACUUGCGUCUGAUUAGCUAGUUGGUGAGAAAAAAGCCCACCAAGGCAACGAUCAGUAGCCGGCUUGAGAGAGUGUACGGCCACAUUGGGACUGAGACACGGCCCAGACUCCUACGGGAGGCAGCAGUGGGGAAUUUUGCACAAUGGGGGAAACCCUGAUGCAGCGACGCCGCGUGAUUUAGAAGGCCUUCGGGUUGUAAAAAUCUUUUGUAUAGGAAGAAAAUGACAGUACUAUACGAAUAAGGUCCGGCUAAUUACGUG